rnacentral:rRNA from 1 species
GAUGAACGCUGGCGGCGUGCCUAAUACAUGCAAGUCGAGCGAACAGACGAGGAGCUUGCUCCUCUGACGUUAGCGGAGGACGGGUGAGAAACACGUGGAUAACCUACCUAUAAGACUGGGAUAACUUCGGGAAACCGGAGCUAAUACCGGAUAAUAUAUUGCACCGCAUGGUUCAAUAGUGAAAGACGGCGUUGUGGUCACUUAUAGAUGGAUCUGAGCCGCAUUAGCUAGUUGGUAAGGUAACGGCUUAUCAAGGCAACGAUGCGUAGCCGACGUAAGAGGGUGAUAGGCCACACGGGAACUGAGACACGGUCCAGACUCCUACGAGAGGCAGCAGUAGGGAAUCGUCCGCAAUGGUCGAAAGCCUUGCGGAGCAGCGCCGCGUGAGUGGUGAAGGUCUUCGGUGCGGAAAACUCUGUUUUUAGGGAAGAACAAAUGUGUAAGGAACUAUGCACGUAUUGACGGUACCGAAUCAGAAAGCCACGGCUAACUACGUG